AAGGUCACAGAGGACAAGCGACUUGCGCGUAACCUACCGUCAUUUAUGUAACAAGGAGGCUUAGAGCUGUUAGUCUAAGGGCUAAAAACAUAUAUACAAUUACAAGUUAAAGCUUAUAAAAUAAUUAUCUUUUUGAAUUUAAACUUUUUCUUUUUUCCUGUUUUAUCAUGUCGUUCGCUCUUCGUUUUGCUUCUCAAUCAGGAUCGCUUGUUUUAAGAAAUAUGUUUAUUCCAAAACGCAAUAUAGUAGUAGGGCCUCCUCGUAAUCGCGUCUCGUUGACUGAAAAAUUGGUUUUAGGAGGAGUUAUGGUAUCUCUGAUAUGUGCAGUACCUGUGUGGAUUAUGACUAAUCUCCAAGAUUACAAGAAAAGGGAAUAGUCGGAAAUAUAAUGUCUUAUAGAAUAAUAGGCCUAUUUCUGGAGAGACUUAUUAGCCGGAGCACUUUCUACCGAUGGCCUUGUUUGAAAACAUCUUUUUGAAGAUUUUCUCUCUAGCUAGUGGAAAAUUCCAAAGUUGUGGCAUGUACUUGAUAAAAUAAAAUAGAAAAUGAUUCUUGUUGA